CCUACGGGUGGCACCAGUGGGGAAUAUUGCACAAUGGGCGCAAGCCUGAUGCAGCCAUGCCGCGUGUAUGAAGAAGGCCUUCGGGUUGUAAAGUACUUUCAGCGGGGAGGAAGGCGAUAAGGUUAAUAACCUUGUCGAUUGACGUUACCCGCAGAAGAAGCACCGGCUAACUCCGUGCCAGCAGCCGCGGUAAUACGGAGGGUGCAAGCGUUAAUCGGAAUUACUGGGCGUAAAGCGCACGCAGGCGGUCUGUCAAGUCGGAUGUGAAAUCCCCGGGCUCAACCUGGGAACUGCAUUCGAAACUGGCAGGCUAGAGUCUUGUAGAGGGGGGUAGAAUUCCAGGUGUAGCGGUGAAAUGCGUAGAGAUCUGGAGGAAUACCAGUGGCGAGGGCGGCCCCCUGGACAAAGACUGACGCUCAGGUGCGAAAGCGUGGGGAGCAAACAGGAUUAGAUACCCUCGUAGUC
rnacentral:rRNA from 1 species